CAAUAGCGUAUAUUAAAGUUGUUGCAGUUAAAAAGCUCGUAGUUGAAUUUUUGCUUGCCGCCGAUGUCGGAACUUCCGUACGUUCGGCGGCGUGCAUCCUUGGGUGGAACCCGUGUGGCAUUAGGUUGUCGUGCAGGGGAUGCUCAUCGUUUACUGUGAAAAAAUUAGAGUGUUCAAAGCAGGCUUACGCCGUUGAAUAUAUUAGCAUGGAAUAAUAAGAUAGGACCUUGGUACUAUUUUGUUGGUUUGCGCACCGAGGUAAUGAUUAACAGGGACAGUUGGGGGUAUUCGUAUUCCAUUGUCAGAGGUGAAAUUCUUGGAUUUCUGGAAGACGAACUACUGCGAAAGCAUUUACCAAGGAUGUUUUCAUUAA
rnacentral:rRNA from 1 species